GUUGCUGACUGUUCCCUCCCAUUCCCACCGCUAGGGCGUCGCUUCGAGAAGAAAGCCUUCACGCCCUAGCCGGACAGGUGGGGAGGGCGGGCCAGAAGAUGAACGUUUGUCACAGCAACAACAUGAUAAUAUGGUUUAAAUCCACCAGCACAGACUUUUCACUUGAUAGCACCAUCCACAUGCUGAUCUCACUGAACACUCCUCCCCAAGGUCCAAAUCAGCAGGAGAUGAGAGCAACACUGAGAGAAAAGUAGAGAAAAGCAGGGAUCCCAGAAAAACAAUAUUGAUUAGUAGUAUGGAUUACUUUCUUGUCUUUUCCAGAUUUAACAAAUGUUGUUUAUCUAUCAUUUUUGGAUUGUCAUUGACUGCUUCCAAGGAACUUUCUUCAAAAGAUGACCUUCAUAAGGAGGGCAGUCCAAAACUUAUCCUGCUCCAUAGUCAUGCCUUCAGAAGUCCCCCAGAUUUCUUUAAGCAAUCCCACAUCUUUGGCAAAGAAGUCAGAGGAAUAAUUAUAGCAAUAUAUUUAAGACUGAAUUGAUCCCAGGCAUUGUAUAAAGCACUUUGUAGACAUAUGUAAUGAAAAUAAAGCAGAGUAUAAUUAA